UACGUAGGGUGCAAGCGUUAAUCGGAAUUACUGGGCGUAAAGCGUGCGCAGGCGGUUAUGUAAGACAGGUGUGAAAUCCCCGGGCUUAACCUGGGAACUGCAUUUGUGACUGCAUAGCUAGAGUACGGUAGAGGGGGAUGGAAUUCCGCGUGUAGCAGUGAAAUGCGUAGAUAUGCGGAGGAACACCGAUGGCGAAGGCAAUCCCCUGGACCUGUACUGACGCUCAUGCGACGAAAGCGUGGGGAGCAAACGAGG
rnacentral:rRNA from 1 species